UUUCUUACUUAGGUAAAACAUAAAUAAGCAAUUGAAGACCUUAGCAUAGGUUUGAAAAGUAUUCUCCCUUAUGGGAUAUUACAGACAUAAGCAAAUUGAAUAAAAGAGUUUCAUCAGAGUUAUGCAGCGAGAUACGUUACUAUAUGUGUGAAGACAUAUAGUAGGGAGUUCAGUUACUUAUAGAGUCAAAGCGUAUAAAGAUAAAUAUGAGACAUAGGAAAGACACGGCCAACUGACAAUUCCAACAGCCUUCACCCAUCCUCACGCCAAGUUAAACCUGCACAUUUAGAAAUAUGCAGGGCUGAGUACCAAAAAGCACUCAGUGGACUCAUGCCGGAAAAUAAUUGUAAUGUUGCUCUUAGAGCUAUAUGUCAACCUUGCCCUUUUCAAUGCAUCAACAGGAUUAAGUGAGAUUAAAAAUACAUGUUCAUGUUUUUCUGUCAUAAACUCAUUUGCAUCAUCAUAAUAAUAUCAUUAGUCUGCAGACAAUAUAUAUUCAGGGUAUGUGCCAACUAUGAAAACUCAUAUAUCAUAUACUCCCUCCGUCCGCCAAGAUUAUGGCAAUUUGCUUGGGCACGAGAUUUAAUAAAAUUGGGGAUGAUUUUGAUGUAGUGGAGAAAGGGUCCCACCACUUUAUGGGAUGAGUGGUUGAGAUUGAAUUUUGAGUAGUUUUUUUGUAAAUAAAUAGUGUUAGUAAGGAUAAAAUAUUAAAGAGGAUGGUGGGACCAUUGCCUUAAAAGGAAAGUGACAUAAUCUUGGCGGACGCCCGAUAUAGUAAUUGUGACAUAAUUUUGGCGGACGGAGGGAGUUUAAAUUAGGAGAAGAGAAGGAAGCCUCCUUCAAAUCACCGUGAUCGGCCGACUAGAGACGACUCACGAUCACCUCUGCGCACAAAACCUUUACUGUCAUAUAAAUCAGUCAAAGACCGAUAUCUUGCAUCGUGAUCAUAUUCAUGUCUUUCAUAGUGGUAACAUACCAUAUUUCAUUCUUAUCAAUAAUAAAUAUGGCAAGAUGACGAUUUUCAUAAUACUUCAACAUGCUUCAUUUUCAUAAGAAUUGCAUUUGAACUCAUUAUCAUGGUAGCUUGCCAUAAUAGAGUUAGAAUAAAGCCCACCUGUCUCAAGGGUCGAUGACGUAGAGCUUAGAGUCGUACUAACGCCGGCCGUCACUCGAACCUUUGGUGGCGCACGUGGUUUAGAUUGCCAUGUGACAAAAUAAACUCUAGUGAGAAAUUCAUCUAACUAAUAUCUAAUACUUAUACUUUCAUCAUAUGCUUAAUCUCAUUUUAUAACUUCUCUACUAUUUACCCAAUUGGACCUCCCAAGUAAUUGGAUAUCUUAUCCAAUUAAAAGACUCUCAAUCCUAUAGGUAAAUAACACUCAAUUAAUUCACAUAGUCAUUCAUACUUCAAAUUAAUCAAUUAUUCCACAUAGUACAUUUUCGCAAAUUAUCUCAAUAGUAAAAUGACUUAAAAGUCACUCUAUGAAACUUGAAAUCUUUUUCCCUUGUAAGUAAAUUCUCAAAUAUUCAUGUAAGCUAUGGAAUAUAUAUAUAAAAGAGUUUUUCCACUCAAACAUUUUUUUCAAACCUUUAAAAGUCCAAACAAUCAUUUCCUAUAAGAAUUGUGACAAUUAAAUCUCAUAAAUCCUUUUUGAAUAUAUUCUAUAUUUUUUUAUAUAUAUAUAUAUAUAUAUAUAUUCCAGUAGCAUUUUCAUGAAAUAAUAUGGUGUAUAUCUUCACCAAAACUUUAAAAUUCUCAGUACAAUAUCAAAAGUAAGAAAUUUCGAACACCUACAACUUACUACUUCUGCACUGUCUCGUCUUUAAAGAAUAAACUGUUUCAUCUCAGAACUCCUGGAUUCAAGACUUAUACUGUUUGAAACCUCUUUGAGUCUAAUUUUAUUUUUAAAAAAAUUAGGUUGAAAAACUCCAAGUGGUUUAAGAGGUAUGGAUGUUUUCCCACAGUCUACCAGAUUCGGUAGUUUCGGACAAUUAGAAGUUAAGAUUUUUGAAAAAUAGUAAACGUUAUCGAAAUGGCUUAAAAUUUGGUGUACAUAUGUAUAACACAUGUAUAUUUCUACCAUAAAAAUUUGGGAGGCUGAAUGUUUUUGAAAGCUACUGAAAAGUGUGACUCCAGUGACUGCCCUUCCAAAUUUUCGAUAGAAUUUCGCAGUAGAAGUUUUAUAAUUUAAAAAGGUAGUAAACAAAGUCCAAAUGACUUGAAUUUUACCAGAAUUCUCAAGACACAUAAAGUUACACACUAUAAAAGUUUCAAGAUUUUUGGAAAAGGGGAUUCUCUUCGACUCAUCAGUCCAGAACGUAGGAAAAAUUUUCGUGGUGGUUGAAAUUAUAACUUUUACACAUAUGAUCAUAGAUCUUCAAUUUCACCACCAUUCUCAUGCAUUUUCAUACUAAGAACUCAUCAUGCUUCAAAUGUAUACAUGUUUAUCAUCUUAUACAUACAUAUACACAUAUCAUAAGAUGAGGAUAUGAGCUUACUUCCAACAAAAUCAAAGAAGGUGGAGUAGAGGAUGGUGCUUAGGAUUUUCUUGAAGCUUGAGCUUGAAGAUGAACACUUUUAGAAACCUUUGCUCUUACUAUAUUUGGUGGAACAAAAAGAAAAUGUGGUGAAGUGAAGAGGGGGAGGGGCAGCCGAAACUUAUGAAGAAAGAAGGGAAGCUUGUCUUGAUGAGAGGUGAUGGGAUGGUGUGAUCUUGUCACAUAAAUGCAUGAUCUUGUAGAGAUCAUGCUUGAUGAAGAUCUAUGGAGAUUUAGGCAAUAGGGAGGUGAAAGAGGUGAGAGCACCAUGAGGUAAGGGAAGAAGGAGGGUGAGAAGAGAGAAUAAGAGAAGAAAGAAGAGAGAGAUGAGAGAGAUCGAGAGUUGAGG
rnacentral:lncRNA from 1 species